UACGAAGGGUGCAAACGUUGCUCGGAAUUAUUGGGCGUAAAGCGCACGUAGGCGGCUUGGCAAGUCGGAUGUGAAAUCCCCCGGCUCAACCAAGGAAGUGCAUCCGAAACUGCUGAGCUUGAGUACUUAAGAGGAUCGCGGAAUUCCCGGUGUAGAGGUGAAAUUCGUAGAUAUCUGGAGGAACACCGAUGGCGAAGGCGGCAUCCUGGACCGGUAUUGACGCUGAGGCGCGAAAGCCAGGGGAGCAAACAGG
rnacentral:rRNA from 1 species